UACGGGGGGGGCAAGCGUUGUUCGGAAUUACUGGGCGUAAAGGGCUCGUAGGCGGCCAACUAAGUCGGAUGUGAAAUCCCCAGGCUUAACCUGGGAACUGCAUCCGAUACUGGAUGGCUUGAAUCCGGGAGAGGAAUGCAGAACUCCAGGUGUAGCGGUGAAAUGCGUAGAUAUCUGGAGGAAUACCGGUGGCGAAGGCGGCAUCCUGGACCGGCAUUGACGCUGAUGAGCGAAAGCUAGGGGAGCAAACGGG
rnacentral:rRNA from 1 species